UACAGAGGUCUCAAGCGUUGUUCGGAUUCAUUGGGCGUAAAGGGUGCGUAGGUGGCGGGGCAAGUCAGGUGUGAAAUCUCGGGGCUCAACCCCGAAACUGCACUUGAUACUGCCUUGCUCGAGUACUGGAGAGGAGAUUGGAAUUUACGGUGUAGCAGUGAAAUGCGUAGAUAUCGUAAGGAAGACCAGUGGCGAAGGCGAAUCUCUGGACAGUUACUGACACUGAGGCGCGACAGCGUGGGGAGCAAACAGG
rnacentral:rRNA from 1 species